AUUGAACGCUGGCGGCAGGCCUAACACAUGCAAGUCGAACGGUAACAGGAAGAAGCUUGCUUCUUUGCUGACGAGUGGCGGACGGGUGAGUAAUGUCUGGGAAACUGCCUGAUGGAGGGGGAUAACUACUGGAAACGGUAGCUAAUACCGCAUAAUGUCGCAAGACCAAAGAGGGGGACCUUCGGGCCUCUUGCCAUCGGAUGUGCCCAGAUGGGAUUAGCUAGUAGGUGGGGUAACGGCUCACCUAGGCGACGAUCCCUAGCUGGUCUGAGAGGAUGACCAGCCACACUGGAACUGAGACACGGUCCAGACUCCUACGGGAGGCAGCAGUGGGGAAUAUUGCACAAUGGGCGCAAGCCUGAUGCAGCUAUGCCGCGUGUAUGAAGAAGGCCUUCGGGUUGUAAAGUACUUUCAGCGGGGAGGAAGGGAGUAAAGUUAAUACCUUUGCUCAUUGACGUUACCCGCAGAAGAAGCACCGGCUAACUACGUG
rnacentral:rRNA from 1 species